rnacentral:rRNA from 1 species
AUUGAACGCUGGCGGCAUGCUUUACACAUGCAAGUCGAACGGUAACAGGCCGCAAGGUGCUGACGAGUGGCGAACGGGUGAGUAAUGCAUCGGAACGUGCCCAGUCGUGGGGGAUAACGCAGCGAAAGCUGUGCUAAUACCGCAUACGAUCUAUGGAUGAAAGCGGGGGACCGUAAGGCCUCGCGCGAUUGGAGCGGCCGAUGUCAGAUUAGGUAGUUGGUGGGGUAAAGGCCUACCAAGCCGACGAUCUGUAGCUGGUCUGAGAGGACGACCAGCCACGCUGGGACUGAGACACGGCCCAGACUCCUACGGGAGGCAGCAGUGGGGAAUUUUGGACAAUGGGCGCAAGCCUGAUCCAGCAAUGCCGCGUGCAGGAAGAAGGCCUUCGGGUUGUAAACUGCUUUUGUACGGAACGAAACGGUCCUGGUUAAUACCCGGGGCUAAUGACGGUACCGUAAGAAUAGGCACCGGCUAACUACGUGCCAGCCGCCGCGGUAACAC